UGUGGGUGAUCAAGAAAACCUUUUGGCGGAGCUAAACAAUCUUUGGAUAGGGAGCUACAAGAUUAGAGUUUUUAAACCAAGGUAUGAUCGACAAACAAAGGAGACAAAGAAAGGGGCUAAUGAAGAGCAUACUCUGAAACAACCGAAGGUCUUGAAGUCUUAUGUGGUUCCACAUUGGAAAAGAAAGUCUGGAAUUUCCUUUAAAGAAAUACUCACGGGAAAUAAAGUUGAGGAACAUGUUGCCGAUGAAACUUUUCUGUUCCAAACUUUGGAGCCGGAAAAGGAAUGGAUGGACGGAGCUUUCACGGGAUUCUUCAAAGCCGAAUUUCUGUGGGAGGAAAUUGAAGAAGAAAUUAAAGCGGAAUGCUCGGCAAACUGAAAUUGAGAACUAUGGGUGGUAAUCUUGUGCUUAUUCAAAGUUGCAGUAGCACACCAACCAAAGAAACCUUGGCGGAACUCGAUGAGUGGUGCUCUUUUUGGUUACAGUGGUUUCGACCGUGGAGCUAUGUGGACGUUAAUCGACAAAGGGCGGUGUGGACGAAAUGGACCGGGGUGCCCCUUCACGCAUGGUGUCCAAGAUUCUUCGACAAUGUUAGCUCGAAAUUUGGCAUGCUCCUUAAGGUUGAUGACGAGACUAAGCAAAAAGAACGGCUUGACGAAGCCUUUGUGCAGAUUUCCACGGGACUGUGCUCGGUUAAUAGGUUGCUCGAAUGCAGAAUCGACGGAGCGAGUUUUCAGAUUCGAAUAGAAGAAAUCGGCGAAAAGCUCAAUCCAAAAUCAGAAUUGCUCGAGGAUAAAGGAGAAACGGACUCGGAUUCAGAUUGGACCUGGGAAGAAGGCUCAUUGGCGCCGGCCGACGCCAUGAUCGGUUGCGAUGACGAAGCCACAGACAAGGAGGCGGACGUCUCAGUUACUCAGCCGUCCGAUCCCUCGUCAAAAGCACGCCGUAAUUCCGCCGAAAAGAGUAAUUAUGGGAGGGCGGCUGCGGGAUAUCCAAGGUUGAUACAGGGAGGCGAAGGUAUCGAGGACCCGUGCAGUCCCCUCUUUGAAAAUGCAGAUCGUCAAACUAGCGCCGAAAAGAUUGAAACUGCAGAUCGUCAAACUAGCGCCGAAAAGAUUAAUUAUGAGAGGGCGGCUGCGGGAACUCCA
rnacentral:lncRNA from 1 species